CAUAUACUCCCUCCGUUCGGAAUUACUUGUCGCAGAAAUGGAUGUAUCUAGACGUAUUUUAGUUCUAGAUACAUCCAUUUUUGAGACAAGUAAUUCCGAACGGAGGGAGUAUGAU
rnacentral:pre_miRNA from 1 species